UCCAGAGGGGGCAAGCGUUGUUCGGAAUUACUGGGCGUAAAGGGCGCGUAGGCGGCCUGCUAAGUCGAACGUGAAAUCCCCGGGCUCAACCCGGGAACUGCGUCCGAUACUGGCAGGCUUGAGGCCGGGAGAGGGUAGCGGAAUUCCCAGUGUAGCGGUGAAAUGCGUAGAGAUCAGGAAGAACACCGGUGGCGAAAGCGUUCUGCUAGACCUGUACUGACACUGAGGGACGAAAGCUAGGGGAGCGAAUGGG
rnacentral:rRNA from 1 species